UACGUGAGGGGCGAACGUUGUUCGGUGUCACUGGGCUUAAAGGGUGCGUAGGUGGUUGCGUAAGUAACGUGUGAAAUCCCUCGGCUUACCCGGGGAAUUGCGCGUUAUACUGCGUGACUUGAGGAUUUCAGGGGAAUGGGGAACUCCAGGUGUAGCGGUGAAAUGCGCAGAUAUCAGGAGGAACACCAAUGGCGAAGGCAGCACUCUGGGACGUGACUGACGCUGAGACGCGAAAGCGUGGGGAGCAAACAGG
rnacentral:rRNA from 1 species